GCGGGUGUUGCACAACGGUAGAGCAGCUGACUUGUAAUCAGCAGGUGUUAGGUCAGUUUCCUCUCACCAGUGCCA
rnacentral:tRNA from 1 species